AGAGUUUGAUCAUGGCUCAGGAUGAACGCUGGCGGCAGGCCUAAUACAUGCAAGUCGAACGGUUGUAGUGAUACCCUCUUGGCGCACGGGUGCGUAACCCGUAUGCAACCUACCUUAUAGACGGGGAUAGCCUUUGGAAACGGAAAUUAAUACCCGAUAGUAAUAUUGACUGGGAUCAGUUUAUAUUUAAAGAUUUAUCGCUAUAACUGGGGCAUGCGUCCUAUUAUUUAGUUGGUGAGGUAACGGCUCACCAACACGAUGAUUGGUAGGGGAACUGAGAGGUUAAUCCCCCACACUGGCACUGAGAUACGGGCCAGACUCCUACGGGAGGCAGCAGUAGGGAAUAUUGGGCAAUGGAGGCAACUCUGACCCACCCAUGCCGCGUGCAGGAUGAAGGCGUUAUGCGUUGUAAACUGGUUUUAUAUAGGAAGAAAUAGACCUUGCUAGGUAAGUUGACGGUACUAUAUGAAUAAGCACCGGCUAACUCCGUGCCUACAGCCCCGGUAAUACGGAGGGUGCAAGCGUUGUCCGGAUAUAUCGGGUUUAAAGGGUGCGUACGCGGUUUAUUAAGUCUGUGGUGAAAAACUGUCGCUCCACGAUUGCACUGGCAUUGAUACUGGUAGACUUGAGUGAUAUUGAGGUAGCUAGAAUGGAUAGUGUACCCGUGAAAUGCAUAGAUAUUAUCCUGAACAGCAAUUGCCUAAGCGAGUUACUAAGUCUCAACUGACGCUGAGGCACUCAGUGUGGGUAUCAAACGAGAUUAGAUACUCAGAUACUCCACACUGUCACGAUGAUAACUAACUGAUGGCUUU
rnacentral:rRNA from 1 species